rnacentral:rRNA from 1 species
GAUGAACGCUGGCGGCGUGCCUAAUACAUGCAAGUCGAGCGAACGGACGAGAAGCUUGCUUCUCUGAUGUUAGCGGCGGACGGGUGAGUAACACGUGGAUAACCUACCUAUAAGACUGGGAUAACUUCGGGAAACCGGAGCUAAUACCGGAUAAUAUUUUGAACCGCAUGGUUCAAAAGUGAAAGACGGUCCUGCUGUCACUUAUAGAUGGAUCCGCGCUGCAUUAGCUAGUUGGUAAGGUAACGGCUUACCAAGGCAACGAUGCAUAGCCGACCUGAGAGGGGGAUCGGCCACACUGGAACGGAGACACGGUCCAGACUCCUACGGGAGGCAGCAGUAGGGAAUCUUCCGCAAUGGGCGAAAGCCUGACGGAGCAACGCCGCGUGAGUGAUGAAGGUCUUCGGAUCGUAAAACUCUGUUAUUAGGGAAGAACAUAUGUGUAAGUAACUGUGCACAUCUUGACGGUACCUAAUCAGAAAGCCACGGCUAACUACGUG